rnacentral:lncRNA from 1 species
UUGGUCAAUUGACAAUUUUGGUCAUGUUAAUUUUUUUGUAGAUCUUACUUUGCUGAACAUUAUUGCUAUUUACAGUUUAUAUCUACCUAUAAUAAUAUUCAAGAUAAUAACAAAAUACUACAAAAUUUCCUUAAAACUACCAAUUUAGUGGCAGCAACCCAUCAAUGGGUUGUUUGAUUCGUCUGAAAAUUUCAUGGCUGAUAUAUCUUGACCAAAUGAACCCCCCCCCC